CAAGCCACGCCACCCAAGUUAAAAAUACUGGAAGCUGCUCUGGGAUGUGAAGCCCUUCCUGAAUGGCUUGACACGCUCAGACACACAAUGAGAGCUAUCAGCUGCUACCCCGUAGGCAGUAACUGGGGCGCAGGAAGCAAACGCUGACCCGUCACUUCCUUCUCAACUAAGAAGCUGGUGACAGGAACGAUGGACGCCCAAAAGCAACAGCGAGGGCGGACACACCAUGCAACAGCUGACUGAGUGGAAAACAUGGACUUAGACACGACAGCCGGGCGUCUCUGAACCGCAGGGCUCCUCACCCAACUUCGCCCUCCCCACAGACGCCAACGCCAAGCAAGCAUCGCAGCCGGGGCCUCGGGGAGCUCAGCCCGACCUUGUCAGCCGCCGACGCCCCGCCCGACCACGUUACCUUCUCCGUCGGAAGAGCGUUUGAGCUCGUCUUCCAGACUCGACAUUCCGGCCUUGGCUACCAGUUUCAUCUUUUUCUUCCUCUUCAGGGAACGCUUUAGCUUUUUCCCCGCGCUUACACGUGAGUCCGGAACGGCCGCGGCCAUAUUUUUGGUCCGCCGGAAGUGGACCCUCCUGAUAAUUCGAUCGGGUUGCAACCGAAGGAACUUCCUCCUCUCGUUCCGGUGAUACAAAGUUCCGGAACGCGGUUGCGCAGCCUGAAGUUUCGGGGUUGGAGCCUCGGGUGUGAGCGGCGAAACGCCUUGAUCCACCGGUGUUCUCCGGCGAAGGGGAAGCCGGUUCCAGGUCUCACCCCUGCCCCUCUGACGGCCUCUGUGGUCGGCUUCUGUGUACGGUCCGUCCGGCCCGGUUCCGGGCGGCUGCGGCGGCCCGCUCCUGUGUCUGCGCAGAAGGUUGGCUCCGAGUUAGAAACCCCAUCCCGGUCACUGUCUCGAGACCAGCGGUGACUGAGUAACAGCUCAGUUACAGAAUCAGAAAGCAAACUCGACUUUAACGACUUUUUUUUUUCUUUUUAAACGGCCCCAGCAUGUUCCCAAAAGUGUUCCAAAGCUCGAUGUUUUCUGAGUAGAGAUUUCCUGCUGCCUGCGGGCGGAUGAGCCACGCACCUGGCACCUUCCACAAACUGCUCCACAGCCUUGUAGGAGCCAAGGCAGGGGCGACAACAGAGUCACCCUCCUAAAUUAAGCCUGAUAUCCUAUCUGCUGCAAUUCAUUCAACUAAACUCGAACUCCACCCUUUCUUGGAAACUCUAAAAUACAAGGAAUUUCUUUGUUUUGUGAGUUGCUGUGGGAUCCCUACCAUAAUCCAGUCCCUACCCCCAAACUCGCCAGUGCUAUUAAAAGAUCUUAUCACCUGAAA